rnacentral:rRNA from 1 species
ACUCCUACGGGAGGCAGCAGUGGGGAAUAUUGCACAAUGGGCGCAAGCCUGAUGCAGCCAUGCCGCGUGUGUGAAGAAGGCCUUCGGGUUGUAAAGCACUUUCAGUUGUGAGGAAAGGUUAGUCGCUAAUAUCGGCUAGCUGUGACGUUAGCAACAGAAGAAGCACCGGCUAACUCCGUGCCAGCAGCCGCGGUAAUACGGAGGGUGCGAGCGUUAAUCGGAAUUACUGGGCGUAAAGCGCGUGUAGGUGGCUUGUUAAGCCAGAUGUGAAAGCCCCGGCUCAACCUGGGAACUGCAUUUGGACUGGCAGGCUAGAGUUUUGUAGAGGUUGGUAGAAAUUUUCGAGGUGUAGCGGUGAAAUGCAGUAGAGAUCUGAAGGAAUACCGGUGGCGAAGGCGACCACCUGGCCAAUAACUGACACUAGAGACGCGAAGGCGUGGGGUAGCAAACGGGAUUGAGAAUACCCUGGUAGGAUAGCGU